rnacentral:tRNA from 1 species
AAGGGUAUAGCUCAAGUGGCAGAGUGCAUGCUUAGCAUGCACGAGGUCCUGGGUUCAAUCCCCAGUGCCUGUU